AGUGAACGUUGGCGGUAGGCCUAACACAGGCAAGUCGAACGGCAGCACAGUAAGAGCUUGCUCUUACGGGUGGCGAGUGGCGGACGGGUGCGGAAUACAUCGGAAUCUACUUUUUCGUGGGGGAUAACGUAGGGAAACUUACGCUAAUACCGCAUACGACCUACGGGUGAAAGCAUGGGAUCUUCGGACUUUGCGCGAUUGAAUGAGCCGAUGUCGGAUUAGCUAGUUGGCGGGGUAAAGGCCCACCAAGGCGACGAUCCGUAGCUGGUCUGCGAGGAUGAUCAGCCACACUGGAACUGAGACACGGUCCAGACUCCUACGGGAGGCAGCAGUGGGGAAUAUUGGACAAUGGGCGCAAGCCUGAUCCAGCCAUACCGCGUGGGUGAAGAAGGCCUUCGGGUUGUAAAGCCCUUUUGUUGGGAAAGAAAAGCAGCAGGUUAAUACCCCGCUGUUCUGACGGUACCCAAAGAAUAAGCACCGGCUAACUUCGUG
rnacentral:rRNA from 1 species